GCGUCACACGUGGAUGUUAUGGUGUUGCUGUGGAAAUACUUAUUUAUCCUUGCAGCAUUGUACUUUUUCAACGCUUCCUGCUUAUUUUCAAAGUUGUGGCGGUAUAUUUUUAAUGUCUCAGAAUGUUUUGAAUGUGUUGGUAAACGGCGUGUUUGGUGUGGAGGAGAAUGUAAUUUAAAUAGCUGCAAUAAACAGUAAUGUGACUAACAUUAGGUUGAGCCAGAGCUGCUAUAACUUCCUCAAGUUGAUCUUCUGCAGUUGUUGUAUGAUCGUUUGAAGUAAUUAGACAAUACAUUUAUGACACACAUCUGCAUUUGUCGUUUUGUCUCAGAUCAAAUCAUGGUUGUAAAGAAGAAAGCACCUAAAGUGUAGGCUGUCGCAUUGAAUGAUGUCAAGCUGGAGAUCCUGACAUAGACCUCUGCUGGCCUCCAGAAAGUCCUGCAGGAGAUUCAACCUCGCUACACAAAUGACUUUUUCCACUAGAGCCAGAGAGCUGGACCUCAGUGAAAGCAAGCCGAGACCGUGAACAGAAAGAGCCAGAGAAUGCAGUUUAUAAACCACAAUCCUGUAAUAGCGGUAAAAGCACAAUUGCCCAUUAGUAUUUUAUUAAUUGUAAUAAAGUUUCCACCACCUCAUUGUCCUUUACCGUAGUAUCUGUCUCAAGAUUUCACACAUUCAGGCACAUCAUCAAUACUUUAGCAUGAUGUCUUUAGUAAUUGCACUCAUAUUCUAAACCUUACACUUUUAGUGGACCCAGAAUUGAUCUGAAAGGAUUGCUGGUGUUGCUGUAAUACAUGUUCUGUCCAUGAGAGGCCGACAUUUGAUCAGUGUUUUCCGAGUGUUGCUUUGGGAGUGUGUGUUUAUGUUGUCUAGAUGGCCGUGAUGGACAGGCCAA